rnacentral:rRNA from 1 species
CCUAACACAUGCAAGUCGAACGGUAACAGGAAGAAGCUUGCUUCUUUGCUGACGAGUGGCGGACGGGUGAGUAAUGUCUGGGAAACUGCCUGAUGGAGGGGGAUAACUACUGGAAACGGUAGCUAAUACCGCAUAACGUCGCAAGACCAAAGAGGGGGACCUUCGGGCCUCUUGCCAUCAGAUGUGCCCGGAUGGGAUUAGCUAGUAGGUGGGGUAACGGCUCACCUAGGCGACGAUCCCUAGCUGGUCUGAGAGGAUGACCAGCCACACUGGAACUGAGACACGGUCCAGACUCCUACGGGAGGCAGCAGUGGGGAAUAUUGCACAAUGGGCGCAAGCCUGAUGCAGCCAUGCCGCGUGUAUGAAG